AUUGAACGCUGGCGGAAUGCUUUACACAUGCAAGUCGAACGGCAGCACGGGGCAACCUGGUGGCGAGUGGCGAACGGGUGAGUAAUACAUCGGAACGUGCCCAAUCGUGGGGGAUAACGUAGCGAAAGUUACGCUAAUACCGCAUACGAUCUACGGAUGAAAGCGGGGGAUCGCAAGACCUCGCGCGAAUGGAGCGGCCGAUGUCAGAUUAGGUAGUUGGUGGGGUAAAAGCCUACCAAGGCGACGAUCCGUAGCGGGUCUGAGAGGAUGAUCCGCCACACUGGGACUGAGACACGGCCCAGACUCCUACGGGAGGCAGCAGUGGGGAAUUUUGGACAAUGGGCGGAAGCCUGAUCCAGCCAUGCCGCGUGAGUGAAGAAGGCCUUCGGGUUGU
rnacentral:rRNA from 1 species